rnacentral:rRNA from 1 species
CCACACUGGGACUGAGACACGGCCCAGACUCCUACGGGAGGCAGCAGUAGGGAAUCUUCCGCAAUGGACGAAAGUCUGACGGAGCAACGCCGCGUGAGUGAUGAAGGCUUUCAGGGUCGUAAAACUCUGUUGUUAGGGAAGAACAAGUGCUAGUUGAAUAAGCUGGCACCUUGACGGUACCUAACCAAAAAGCCACGGCUAACUACGUGCCAGCAGCCGCGGUAAUACAAA